GUACAUGCAAAUUCAGGUGCCGGGUUUCACAGCCUGCCGAAGUAACCGCGACAUGAUGACACGCCGCGAGCGUGUUUUUU
rnacentral:sRNA from 1 species